rnacentral:tRNA from 1 species
GCGGACGUGGCGGAAUUGGUAGACGCGCCAGGUUUAGGUCCUGGUGGGUGAAAGCCCGUGGGGGUUCGAGUCCCUUCGUCCGCA